GUCAAACCCACACCCCAAAUCAAAUCAAAUCACUAAACCCUCUGCCCUAAUUCAGCGAAGAAAUAGCGAGAAGCAGUGAAGAAAAAAAUGAGCGAGAAUCAAAGGCAAGAAGCAAUGGGAAAGAAGAAGGGCGAGAAUCAAUGACAGCAAGAAUGAAGAUGAUCGAUUUGGCCUCCACAUAAUUG